CCCCUAGAUGUUCUGGGCCGCACGCGCGCUACACUGAACAGUUCAACAAGUCUUAACCUUGGCCGAUAGGUCUGGGUAAUCUUUGAACGCUGUUCGUGAUUGGGAUAGACCUUUGCAAUUAUGGGUCUUCAACGAGGAAUUCCUAGUAAACGCAAGUCAUCAGCUUGCAUUGAAUACGUCCCUGCCCUUUGUACACACCGCCCGUCGCACCUACCGAUUGAAUGGUCCGGUGAAAUCUCGGGACGGCGGCUUGGUCGCUUGCGUCCGACUGCUGAAACUUGAUUAAACCAUAUCAUUUAGAGGAAGGUGAAGUCGUAACA
rnacentral:rRNA from 1 species